UGUAUGUUUCUAUUUAUAGUCUGUUUCUCUUUAUAGUCUGUGUGUAUAAAUAUGAUGAGUUUGAAUAUCACGGGUGAUGAAAAAAAAAAAAAAUGAAUAUCACGGGUCCUCGAAAACCACUCCUUCUUUAUCCCCACUGUUUCAUGUUUUCUUCGCAUAGGUAAUGGGUUCAAUUGUGAAAAAAAAAAAAAAAGGUAAUGGGUUCAAUAUUUCGUCUAUAUUAAAACUUAUACACACAACUAUUUUGCCCUAAAUGAAUUGUGACGGAGAGAAUUUUACGCUCUAAACUGGAAAAGAUAGAGUGAUCCUGAAACGAAUAAACGGAGGAGAAGGGGAGAGAAGGAGUAUCAUAGUUUAGUUUCUCUCACACUGUAUCCGAUUAUUUAACUCCACGUUGACACGUUGUCUCUGACGCGUGAGAGACUUGUUGUCAAAUGUAAUAAACCAGCUAAUAAUUAGUCUGUCUCCUGGUACAGUCAUGGUUGCAUGCAUGAUCAUAGUUUGGUUUCUCCCACACUAUGGAUCAAUUUAGUUUACAUAGUGAAGCAAGUUUAUGUUUUCAAUUUCAUGUUGUUACUCACCUUUUCUAUUUAGUUCAAGUGAACAUAUAACUCAUAUCGUGGACCAAAUUAGAUUUCAUAGUUAGUUCACAUGAUGGACCAAACUUAGAUGUUAAAAUUUUGUACAUAUCUUAAAAACUCAACGGCCUUGAAAUAUGAUGAAGUUCAAUUUGUUUUAAGUACAUAGCCGAGACAAGUUUGAUUCAUCUUGUAGAUAAAAUACUAGAAAACGUUAACAAAUUGUAUAUUUGCUUAUCUUUUGCUUAUACUCUACUUAUGUUUUACAUAAUUUUUGUUUGUUUAUAUUUGGCCGACCACAAAAACCAAAUCUAAUUAUGGCCUUUACCGGAACUAAUUUUUGUAUUGGUUUUUAUUUUAUUUUAUUUUAUUAAUUUGGAUUGUAAAAUCCAGUAACAAUUUUACUAUUUCAACGUAAGUAAUGUAGAGAAAAAUCUCUUGCAAAAAGAAUUUACUUGUUCGAAAGUAAACUAUAUAACUGCUGACAAAGACAAAAAAAAAUAAAAAAUAAUAAGAGAGUGGCUUGUAAUAUAGAAGAAAUAUAAGGGUAGAGGGAUGGCAAAAAAAAAAGCUAGGUAAUUCACCAGGAGAAAAUUUUACAUUUUUACUAAAGUAUUUUAUAUGUUUGAAAUCUAUUUUAACAGGUUUCCGAUGGAGAUCUUGUCAUUUGCUUCCCCAAACAUAACCAACCAGCUUUUGCCCAUCCUCGUUUAAUACAUCUCAAGAUACAGGUUUGUUUCUUUACUUUUUAAAUUUUGUUUCUUUACUUUUUAAAUUUUGUUGCUCGAUUACUUAUGAUUCCUAGAAUGACUGGAACUAGCAAGAAAAGUGAAUGGCGAACAUCAGAGGCACACGUCAGUACCGCCAAAUGUCCUGAAGGUACAGUGCCAAUACAAAACAUAACCGUUUUGGAUCAUCGAGCAAAACCAGAAAGAGGCAAUAACAAUACUAGUUUCAUCCCCUAACAUGAGGUACAUAAACUACUAGUUUCAUCCCCUAACAUGAGGUACAUAAACUGUUAAACAUAUAUCUAUCAUUGUACUUCUCUCUUUGGUAAUACGUAUUUCUCUCUUUGGUAAAAAUGAAUGUACUUCUCGAUUUUUAGUUUUGAAGAAAUUAAAUGCAUUAUUAAUUGGUAAGUGUUUUUUUCCCAACCGUUUUGUCAAUAUAUUAUUUUCCUAAUAUUUGUGAUGAUAGAGUGAUUAUUUUUUACAUAUAUAGAGAUUAUAUUGAGAUUUGUUUUUUUUUUAAACACAUCUCUAGAUUUGUUUUAGGUCCAUAAUAGACUUCGAU
rnacentral:sRNA from 1 species